ACAAAGUCACUACCAACCUCAACGUUCAAGAAGCUCAUAUGGAAGAUAGGCAUGCGUCGACUGAAGGAUCUUCGGUGAUGCAUUCAUCAGGGGGAGUUCAUGUGUUCUACUCUUUUUCCUGUCUUGUUUUCCCUUUUACCACAUUGGGUUUUGGAUUUGUCAAGAGAGGUUUUAAUGAGGCAACAUCCAAAGCAUGAAUGAACAUUG
rnacentral:lncRNA from 1 species